rnacentral:rRNA from 1 species
AACGAACGCUGGCGGCAGGCUUAACACAUGCAAGUCGAGCGAAGACUUCGGUCUUAGCGGCAGACGGGUGAGUAACGCGUGGGAACCUACCCAGUGGUACGGAACAACCCAGGGAAACUUGGGCUAAUACCGUAUACGCCCCCAGGGGGAAAGAUUUAUCGCCAUUGGACGGGCCCGCGUUGGAUUAGCUAGUUGGUGGGGUAAUGGCCUACCAAGGCAACGAUCCAUAGCUGGUCUGAGAGGAUGAUCAGCCACACUGGGACUGAGACACGGCCCAGACUCCUACGGGAGGCAGCAGUGGGGAAUCUUGGACAAUGGGCGCAAGCCUGAUCCAGCCAUGCCGCGUGAGUGAAGAAGGCCCUAGGGUUGUAAAGCUCUUUCGGCGGGGACGAUAAUGACGGUACCCGCAGAAGAAGCCCCGGCUAACUCCGUGCCAGCAGCCGCCGCAGUAAAAC